rnacentral:rRNA from 2 species
UUUGAUCCUGGCUCAGGACGAACGCUGGCGGCGUGCCUAAUACAUGCAAGUCGAGCGAAUCUUGAGGUGCUUGCACCUCUUGGUUAGCGGCGGACGGGUGAGUAACACGUGGGCAACCUGCCUGUAAGACUGGGAUAACUUCGGGAAACCGGAGCUAAUACCGGAUAAUCCUUUUCCUCUCAUGAGGAAAAGCUGAAAGUCGGUUUCGGCUGACACUUACAGAUGGGCCCGCGGCGCAUUAGCUAGUUGGUGAGGUAACGGCUCACCAAGGCGACGAUGCGUAGCCGACCUGAGAGGGUGAUCGGCCACACUGGGACUGAGACACGGCCCAGACUCCUACGGGAGGCAGCAGUAGGGAAUCUUCCGCAAUGGACGAAAGUCUGACGGAGCAACGCCGCGUGAGCGAUGAAGGCCUUCGGGUCGUAAAGCUCUGUUGUUAGGGAAGAACAAGUACCGGAGUAACUGCCGGUACCUUGACGGUACCUAACCAGAAAGCCACGGCUAACUACGUGCCAGCAGCCGCGGUAAUACGUAGGUGGCAAGCGUUGUCCGGAAUUAUUGGGCGUAAAGCGCGCGCAGGCGGUCCUUUAAGUCUGAUGUGAAAGCCCACGGCUCAACCGUGGAGGGUCAUUGGAAACUGGGGGACUUGAGUGCAGAAGAGGAAAGCGGAAUUCCACGUGUAGCGGUGAAAUGCGUAGAGAUGUGGAGGAACACCAGUGGCGAAGGCGGCUUUC